GGUGACCCUGGAGGUUGGAAAAUAACAGUGUACACAAGAUCCUAGAGGACUCAGGAAGCCCUAAGGGAUAUGUUCUAUGACUUGAUCUGAACAGCUAAAUUUCUCUAGCUCAUUCCUUCCAGGAGAGGAUGUUCUGGCGUCGGCAGGAACCUGGGCUCCAGCAUGAAACAUUUUGUUUUGCUUGUUUGUUUUGUUUUGGAUUUGUGUUUUAUUGUUUCCUCUUCAUGUUUUGCUGAAUUUCCAAAUGGUUCUUAUAAAUUUAUGUUCAGUGUUUUUCCCUUUUGCUGCAUUUUUAAAGAAAAGGAGUAUUGAAAAUGAGAAGGCUUUGAAUGACAACAAACAACUCUUCUCUCCAUGUGUUGGAUUAAGGCAGACCGAAAUACUUCCACUGCAAACUGAACAUCUGGUUUAGUGAUGCACAUCGAGGGCGCGAUGCGGAAGGUCUGAGGAGACAAAGGAAAAUAGAGCAACGGAUCAUCAUGGAAUCAAAUAUAACUUUGAGAAAAUGCACUAAGCUAAGAAUUUAAAACCUUAUUUUUAAGACAUUUCUUGUAUUUCCCUCCUGGAUUGGUCUCUUCCCGCCCCAAGGCCAUACCUAGACCGUUCAAAUUUUAGUCUCAUAAAAAUUCUGAAACCAG